rnacentral:rRNA from 1 species
UGCAGUCGUGCGAGAAAGUAUCUUCGGAUAUGAGUAGAGCGGCGGACGGGUGAGUAACGCGUAGGAAUCUACCUAGUAGAAGGGGAUAGCCCGGGGAAACCCGGAUUAAUACCGUAUACCUCCUUCGGGAGAAAGAAGGCCUCUCUUUGAAGCUUUCGCUACUAGAUGAGCCUGCGUAAGAUUAGCUUGUUGGUGAGGUAAAGGCUCACCAAGGCAACGAUCUUUAGCUGGUCUGAGAGGACGAUCAGCCACAUUGGGACUGAGACACGGCCCAGACUCCUACGGGAGGCAGCAGUGGGGAAUAUUGGACAAUGGGCGCAAGCCUGAUCCAGCCAUACCGCGUGUGUGAAGAAGGCCUUCGGGUUGUAAAGCACUUUAAGCAGGGAGAAAAAGUUAUAAGUUAAUACCUUAUAGCCUUGAUGUUACCUGCAGAAUAAGCACCGGCUAAUUCCGUGCCAGCAGCCGCGGUAAUACGGAAGGUGCAAGCGUUAAUCGGAAUUACUGGGCGUAAAGCGCGCGUAGGUGGUUUGUUAAGUUGGAUGUGAAAGCCCUGGGCUCAACCUAGGAACUGCAUCCAAAACUAACUCACUAGAGUACGAUAGAGGGAGGUAGAAUUCAUAGUGUAGCGGUGGAAUGCGUAGAUAUUAUGAAGAAUACCAGUGGCGAAGGCGGCCUCCUGGAUCUGUACUGACCCUGAGGUGCGAAAGCGUGGGUAGCGAACAGGAUUAGAUACC